GACGAACGCUGGCGGCGUGCCUAAUACAUGCAAGUAGAACGCUGAAGAGAGGAGCUUGCUCUUCUUGGAUGAGUUGCGAACGGGUGAGUAACGCGUAGGUAACCUGCCUGGUAGCGGGGGAUAACUAUUGGAAACGAUAGCUAAUACCGCAUAAAAUGGAUUAUCGCAUGAUAAUCCAUUGAAAGGUGCAAAUGCAUCACUACCAGAUGGACCUGCGUUGUAUUAGCUAGUUGGUGGGGUAACGGCUCACCAAGGCGACGAUACAUAGCCGACCUGAGAGGGUGAUCGGCCACACUGGGACUGAGACACGGCCCAGACUCCUACGGGAGGCAGCAGUAGGGAAUCUUCGGCAAUGGACGGAAGUCUGACCGAGCAACGCCGCGUGAGUGAAGAAGGUUUUCGGAUCGUAAAGCUCUGUUGUAAGAGAAGAACGAGUGUGAGAGUGGAAAGUUCACACUGUGACGGUAUCUUACCAGAAAGGGACGGCUAACUACGUGCCAGCAGCCGCGGUAAUACGUAGGUCCCGAGCGUUGUCCGGAUUUAUUGGGCGUAAAGCGAGCGCAGGCGGUUAGAUAAGUCUGAAGUUAAAGGCUGUGGCUUAACCAUAGUACGCUUUGGAAACUGUUUAACUUGAGUGCAAGAGGGGAGAGUGGAAUUCCAUGUGUAGCGGUGAAAUGCGUAGAUAUAUGGAGGAACACCGGUGGCGAAAGCGGCUCUCUGGCUUGUAACUGACGCUGAGGCUCGAAAGCGUGGGGAGCAAACAGG
rnacentral:rRNA from 1 species